rnacentral:misc_RNA from 1 species
GAUGAAGAACGUAGCGAAAUGCGAUAAGUAAUGUGAAUUGCAGAAUUCAGUGAAUCAUCGAAUCUUUGAACGCACAUUGCGCCCUUUGGUAUUCCGAAGGGCAUGCCUGUUCGAGCGUCAUUUCACCACUCAAGCCUGGCUUGGUAUUGGGCGCCGCGGUCGAUCCGCGCGCCUCAAAGUCUCCGGCUGAGCUGUCCGUCUCUAAGCGUUGUGAUUUCAUUAAUCGCUUCGGAGUGCGGGCGGCCGCGGCCGUUAAAUCUUUCAUAAGGUUGACCUCGGAUCAGGUAGGGAUACCCGCUGAACUUAAGCAUAUCAAUAAGCGGAGGA